rnacentral:lncRNA from 1 species
CUGCUCCUCGUGCUGCUCCUUCCUACGCUCCAUAAACCCUUGAUUGAUCUGGCCGAAACGACAGAUCUAUCAUGCUCAUGGUGUGACAGCUUCUGGCCGAAGCGACAGAAGUGUCGGGAGAGCUUGUGAUACUCCCCCUCGAAUUUUGGCGACUUCUGGCCGAAGCGACAGAAGUGCCGGGAUGAGCUUGUGAUACUCCCCCCUUGAGAUUAUUAAGGCC